rnacentral:rRNA from 1 species
UACGGGAGGCAGCAGUGGGGAAUAUUGCACAAUGGGCGCAAGCCUGAUGCAGCCAUGCCGCGUGUAUGAAGAAGGCCUUCGGGUUGUAAAGUACUUUCAGCGGGGAGGAAGGCGGUGAAGUUAAUAGCUUCACCGAUUGACGUUACCCGCAGAAGAAGCACCGGCUAACUCCGUGCCAGCAGCCGCGGUAAUACGGAGGGUGCAAGCGUUAAUCGGAAUUACUGGGCGUAAAGCGCACGCAGGCGGUCUGUCAAGUCGGAUGUGAAAUCCCCCGGGCUUAACCUGGGAACUGCAUUCGAAACUGGCAGGCUAGAGUCUUGUAGAGGGGGUAGAAUUCCAGGUGUAGCGGUGAAAUGCGUAGAGAUCUGGAGGAAUACCGGUGGCGAAGGCGGCCCCUGGACAAAGACUGACGCUCAGGGUGCGAAAGCGUGGGGAGCAAACGAGGAUUAGGAUACC